rnacentral:rRNA from 1 species
GACGAACGCUGGCGGCGUGCUUAACACAUGCAAGUCGAGCGAUUUACUUCGGUAAAGAGCGGCGGACGGGUGAGUAACGCGUGGGUAACCUGCCCUGUACACACGGAUAACAUACCGAAAGGUAUGCUAAUACGGGAUAAUAUGCUUUUAUCGCAUGGUAGAAGUAUCAAAGCUUUUGCGGUACAGGAUGGACCCGCGUCUGAUUAGCUAGUUGGUAAGGUAACGGCUUACCAAGGCGACGAUCAGUAGCCGACCUGAGAGGGUGAUCGGCCACAUUGGAGCUGAGACACGGUCCAAACUCCUACGGGAGGCAGCAGUGGGGAAUAUUGCACAAUGGGCGAAAGCCUGAUGCAGCAACGCCGCGUGAGCGAUGAAGGCCUUCGGGUCGUAAAGCUCUGUCCUCAAGGAAGAUAAUGACGGUACUUGAGGAGGAAGCCCCGGCUAACUACGUGCCAGCCGCCGCCGUAA